rnacentral:rRNA from 1 species
UACAGAGGGUGCAAGCGUUGUUCGGAAUUAUUGGGCGUAAAGCGCGUGUAGGCGGCUUUGCAAGUCGGGUGUGAAAGCCCUCAGCUCAACUGAGGAAGUGCGCCCGAAACUGCAGAGCUUGAGUGCCGGAGAGGGUGGCGGAAUUCCCCAAGUAGAGGUGAAAUUCGUAGAUAUCGGGAGGAACACCAGUGGCGAAGGCGGCUUCCUGGACCGGUUCUGACACUGAGGAGCGAAAGCGUGGGGAGCGAUCCGG